CCUACGGGUGGCAGCAGUGAGGAAUAUUGGUCAAUGGGCGCUAGCCUGAACCAGCCAAGUCGCGUGAAGGAUGACGGAUCUAUGGGUUGUAAACUUCUUUUAUAUGGGAAUAAAGUGCAGAACGUGUUCCUUUUUGUAUGUACCAUAUGAAUAAGCAUCGGCUAACUCCGUGCCAGCAGCCGCGGUAAUACGGAGGAUGCGAGCGUUAUCCGGAUUUAUUGGGUUUAAAGGGUGCGUAGGUGGUUUAUUAAGUCAGCUGUGAAAGUUUGUGGCUCAACCUUAAAAUUGCCGUUGAAACUGGCAUCCUUGAAUCCAGUAGAGAUAGAUGGAAUUCGUGGUGUAGCGGUGACAUGCUUAGAUAUCACGAAGAACUCCGAUUGCGAGGGCAGCCUGCUGGACUGUAACUGCCGCUGCUGCUCGAACGUGUGGGUAUCAAACAGGAUUAGAUACCCCUUUAGUC
rnacentral:rRNA from 1 species